rnacentral:rRNA from 1 species
AGAGUUUGAUCAUGGCUCAGGACGAACGCUGGCGGCGUGCCUAAUACAUGCAAGUCGAACGAACCGCGACUGAGUGCUUGCACUUGGUCAAGGUGAGUGGCGAACGGGUGAGUAACACGUGGGUAACCUACCUCAUAGUGGGGGAUAACAGUCGGAAACGACUGCUAAUACCGCAUAGGACAUGGAAUCACAUGAUUCUGUGAGGAAAGGUGGCGCAAGCUAUCGCUAAGAGAUGGACCCGCGGUGCAUUAGCUAGUUGGUAGGGUAAAGGCCUACCAAGGCGAUGAUGCAUAGCCGACCUGAGAGGGUGAUCGGCCACAUUGGGACUGAGACACGGCCCAAACUCCUACGGGAGGCAGCAGUAGGGAAUCUUCCGCAAUGGACGCAAGUCUGACGGAGCAACGCCGCGUGAGUGAAGAAGGUCUUCGGAUCGUAAAGCUCUGUUGUUAGAGAAGAACAGCGCAUAGAGUAACUGUUAUGCGUGUGACGGUAUCUAACCAGAAAGCCACGGCUAACUACGUGCCAGCAGCCGCGGUAAUACGUAGGUGGCGAGCGUUGUCCGGAUUUAUUGGGCGUAAAGGGAGUGUAGGCGGUCUUUUAAGUCUGAUGUGAAAGCCCACGGCUCAACCGUGGAGGGUCAUUGGAAACUGGGAGACUUGAGUGCAGAAGAGGAGAGCGGAAUUCCAUGUGUAGCGGUGAAAUGCGUAGAUAUAUGGAGGAACACCAGUGGCGAAGGCGGCUCUCUGGUCUGUAACUGACGCUGAGGCUCGAAAGCGUGGGGAGCAAACAGGAUUAGAUACCCCGGUAGUCCAA